GACGAACGCUGGCGGCGUGCUUAACACAUGCAAGUCGAACGGUGAAGGGACUGGUUUUGCUGGUCCUGGAUGAGUGGCGAACGGGUGAGUAACACGUGAGUAACCUGCCCCCUUCUUCUGGAUAACCGCAUGAAAGUGUGGCUAAUACGGGAUAUUCUGGGUCUGUCGCAUGGUGGGCCUGGGAAAGAUUGCGCCUUUUUUGGUGUUUUUGGUGGGGGAUGGGCUCGCGGCCUAUCAGCUUGUUGGUGGGGUGAUGGCCUACCAAGGCGGUGACGGGUAGCCGGCCUGAGAGGGUGGACGGUCACACUGGGACUGAGACACGGCCCAGACUCCUACGGGAGGCAGCAGUGGGGAAUAUUGCACAAUGGGCGCAAGCCUGAUGCAGCGACGCCGCGUGAGGGAUGGAGGCCUUCGGGUUGUGAACCUCUUUCGCCAGUGAAGCAGGCCUGCCUCUUUUUGUGGGUGGGUUGACGGGAGCUGGAUAAGAAGCGCCGGCUAACUACG
rnacentral:rRNA from 1 species